rnacentral:rRNA from 1 species
CAGUCGCCACGGUAAUACAGAGGGUGCGAGCGUUAAUCGGAUUUACUGGGCGUAAAGCGUGCGUAGGCGGCUAAUUGAGUCGGAUGUGAAAUCCCCGAGCUUAACUUGGGAAUUGCAUUCGAUACUGGUUAGCUAGAGUGUGGGAGAGGAUGGUAGAAUUCUAGGUGUAGCGGUGAAAUGCGUAGAGAUCUGGAGGAAUACCGAUGGCGAAGGCAGCCAUCUGGCCUAACACUGACGCUGAGGUACGAAAGCAUGGGGAGCAAACAGGAUUAGAUACCCCGGUAGUCCCUGUCUCUUAUAC